GACGAACGCUAGCGGCAGGCCUAAUACAUGCAAGUCGAACGGUAAGGCUUCUUCGGAAGUACACGAGUGGCGCACGGGUGCGUAACACGUAUGCAACCUACCUUCCAGCGGAGAAUAGUCGUUGGAAACGAUGAAUAAUACUCCAUAUGCUCACAGUGUCUCAUGGCACAGUGAGGAAAGCUCCGGCGCUGGGAGAUGGGCAUGCGCCCCAUUAGCUAGUUGGCAAAGUAACGGUUUACCAAGGCAACGAUGGGUAACUGGUCUGAGAGGAUGAUCAGUCACACGGGCACUGAGACACGGGCCCG
rnacentral:rRNA from 1 species